AGAAAAGUCACUCCCUCCUCCGUUUCCCCAUGUGUAAAAAGGGGGGACAGUAACAGUUCCUCUCUUAGGGUUGCUAAGAGCUGUUUUUUCGAGAAGACGUUUGCAAAGCACUUAGAAUGCCGCUGCCUGACGUAAACACCGCAAGUAUUUCAAGCUCUUCUCGUCCCCACACACAGACGUGUUAACAGACGCAUGGAGUCUCUCUGGAAAUGUUUACGAGGGGCUGCAAACAGGGGUUGCCUCUGAGAGAAGGUUCUGGAGGGUCUGGGAGGAGGUGGUCAGAAGAAGAUACAGUUAUUUCCAGCACCCUUUUUGGAACGAGUUUCUUUUUACUGUGGGCAUUUCUGACUUAAAUGAAAAGCCUUAUGUUUUUAAAAAAAGAAGCAACAGGGCCCCUGACAGGAGCAAAUAUUUUUGAGAUGAGUAUCUGACGUUCACAAUGAUUCAACUUGGACUCCUACUUGAACGCAGGUGGCCACGCACAGGCCCCUGGAUCUGCCAACUCCCAGGACCGGUGCCUUCAGUCCCACCACGGGCUGUGAGCCACUUUCUGUGGCCACCGCAUGGGUGAGGCCAUCGCUCUUCAGCCGGCCCGCACUUUCCUACCCCUUCCCCUCAUCCUGCCAACUCCUGUCUGCCUGAGCGACUUCUCCUGAAACCCUCUACUGGGCCAUUUUCCUGCUCAAAACCCUUGUCUCUAUCUCCUGUCCCAUGGUACCAGGUCCAAACUCCUGAAUCCACCUGUGGAGGUCCCCUGGCUUGUCUGACUCCUCUCCAUCUGCCUAGCCAGACAUGCCUUGACCUUCUGAACAGGCCAGUGCAGGCCAGCCUCACGCGUCUCCUGACCUUACCUUUCCCACCAGCGCCUUCUGUGAGGGACCACGUGGCUCCCAGCUCGGGCACAGGCCACCUGCAUCUGAACAUCGCCCGGCUGCCGGCAGAUGUGGCUGUCCGACCUGGUGUUCCAGCACCGAUUCCGUGUGAAACAUCGGGCGGGACUGGGGAGCCGAGGCUUGUCUCCUCCCAACGAGGACAAGGCGGCCUUUCCUGAAGUGGUAAAUCCCACUCAGAAGUUAAAAGGAUUCCCACGAAGACGAAAACGCAAACUCUACGCAAGCACAAGUCAGCUUGAUGAGGCUGAGCCACGGUGUCCCAGCUCUUACACAGCCUCGCCUCUGACAAGGUGCGUUCCGUCAGCGCUGGCUGCAUAAAUCACAGCUCGUGGUGGGCCUUUUGCUUCAGCCUCAAGAAACCGUUAGGCCUGAGCGGCUCCAGGAAAAGGGCUUAUCCGCCAGGAUUAUAAAUCUCCUCUUUCUACCGUAAUGUGAAAGGUAUUGCACCGCUGCAACUGUUACUUCGGGCCCGUCCUUUAUUAACCAGGCCUUUCGUUUCGACCAUUCGGAAUGCUGAACGUGUAUCAAAAAACCAGAGGGCUCCGUGGGUUGGGGAGGCAGCCUCCCUCCCUUCCUGGAAGCCAGCCGGGCCGCCAGGAUGACCUUGGCAGGAGGCCAGAGGGCACUCCCUUGGGCCAGAGAGAGAAUUCCAGAUUUUGAAAGAUGAACCUCGAGAUGCCCCCAGAGGAGCUCUGGGUCUCAUCCACAUCAACACCCUGCAGAUUCGAGCCUGCCUUCUCCCUGUGUCACUAGGAUGAUGGCAUCUGCUGAAUGAGGAUCAGCGGAGAUGUGGGGGGUGAUGAAGAAAAGCAAGUAAUUGAGAUAUUCGCCGUAAAUAUUGCUAUCAACACCUUCCAUCAAUUACAUGCCUGCUCCAGGCCUGGCCUUGAGCCUCACACUUUAUAGGCAUCAUAUUCAACCCCCUCAAUCAUGCAUGGAAAUGUUAUCACAAAUUUACAGGUGAGGAAAGUGAAAUGUAGACGUCACAGGGCUAGGAUGUGGUAGCGAGGUCUGGAAAACUCUAGAACCCAUGCACUUUCCUCCACAAUUGUACCACCCAAAGGACUCAGCCUGUUUGGGGUUGGCCCUGAAUGAGAAAGAAAAAGACGAAAAGCAAACCCAUUGCCGCAAGCCUCCAAAAGAUUUAUCAGUCCAGAUGUGAUGGCCGGGAUGACAUUGUCCACGUUUUAUAGAGAAAAGGAGUGUCCAUAAAUCCAAUUGUAAGUGGUACUAUGGUAUUAUAUUUUAACAACUCAGAGGAGUCUGGUGAAAAAUCCUUACGGCCUUGGUCAAAUACAAGAGCUUAUGAUAGAAACAGACACUUGAGAUUUCCAGAGUCAUCCUUUCUCACGCAGCUCUGGGUUCCAGGAGAUAAUCAGCAAAUAUCAAUUAAACCAUCAAUGUAACAGGCUCGAUGUGUCAAUUAACCCCACCUAUUAACAAAACGUUUUUCGGUGGACUCUCCUUCCUGCCGCUAUUACCAGACAGCUCUGGGUAACUGGAGCGUUCUUGUCAGUUUACAGGCAAAUCAGAAAUAGGGGUUUUGCGCUGACUUGGUUAAUCGAAGGGAACGGACCUGGAUCAUAUCUGUCAGAACUGGGCCAUGGGGAAUUGGAGAUAAGGCGAACAAAUGGAGCGACAGGAGCUUGAUAAUUCUGGAAUUUGCCAUGGUAAUAAACCAUAUCGAGCAGGAGGUCUGCAAGCCACGGCGGAGACCAAGCCGAAGACUAAAAGAUAGGACGACGCAACACAUUUCUAUAGAAGCUCUGAAAGGGGCAGAUAAAAUAACAAUUAUUACGCUCAGGUUCUUGGCUCAUGGGCGAUUUUAACAUACGCCCGUUUCCACUCUUUUUAUAACGUUACCACAUGUGGACAAGGUUAAAAUACCUGAAAUAAACUCUCGCCAUCUGUCUUUUCUCUCUCACUAGCGGAAAAGGAAUUUGGCUACGAGUGGCUGCUCAUUGUUCAUACCCAAUGCGAGCAGAGAGACAGGUGCCAAAAUCCAUCGCGGGGGACGGGGAAGGGGGGGCAGGUCUGAGAUUCGAAGACCUGGAACCUCGCCCUUCGCCAGGGAGAUCCCACCGAGCACGUGGGCUGAGCCAGGUGCUACGAAACCCUACCAGGUUAAAGAGGUACCCGAUCACCGACACUGUCGCCAAGCAAAUGUGAGAAGUGGUGGCAUCUUUACUCUCCCCCACGUCAGUGUUUAUUUCUGAUUACAGAACACACAGAGAUCCUCAGAGCCAGAAGGCCAGACCGGGUCUCAAGAGGUCAUCUCGUCCUGGGCGACCCAGUGGACACCCCACCGUCCAGCAGAUGUCCCCUCCUCUAAGAGAGGGCUCUCUCUCAAGAUCCUCAGCAGCCGCGUUCAGCCUCUUUUGAGCUGGGAUGCUGGCUAACCCAGCACCUGCACACAGCCGCGUCAUGCGGAGUUGUGGGCAGUGCUAUUCUUUCAACUAAGUUGGCGGGGGGGGCACUCAGUUACAGGGAUGGCUCACAGGCUCCUAGCCCCCAGGAUAACGGAUUGUAUAUUCUGGGUUUCUGCACAAAGCUUUAGUUUGUAGAGAGGAUGCCAGGUUUGGAAAUCUCUGCAGCGCAGCAGUCUCCCUCUUAAAAAACAAAAAAACAACACAACACAACAAAACAAAACAAAAAACACUGCAUUCAGGAUAAUUUGCCAGCCAAGUCUUAUAAGAAAUUGAAUUGGCCGGUUCAUAAGGAGGGGCCCCAGGCCUGUGUGUCCUUGUGCAAAUCCCAUAAGCCUCUGUGAGUCUGUGUCCUCAUCUGAAAAUGCGGACAAGGCUAGCGUUUGUCCCACUGUGUUUUUAGGGGGAGAGCUGAGGACAGCCCCAUUCACAGCAAAUGCUCAGCACACAGGCUUAUGAAGUCUCUUCCAGGCAAAGUGCCGUUCCCAGGGUCCCGGCCACAGAAUGGGCUGGUGUCCUACAGGCUACAGCCCUGCGGUGGGUCUGUCCCAUGUGCUGACCUCGACACUCCCCUGAAGCUUCCAUCUGGGAGCUCUCGGCUCGCAUUUUUGGGUUGUUUUCUAACCAUAAAGAAGACAGGCGUCAUGGUAGCGACGUCAAGUUUCAGGAACAGUCAGUGAAGGCAGAGGCUGUUGAGAAGCUACAAUUUCACACCUACGGUGACGGAGGCAGAACACUCACUAGCCAGCCUAGUCUUCCCGUCUUCCCGCGUUCACCCUCACAAGGAUUUCUGACUCUCCUGAGAGACCUCAGCCUUUAUUCCAUGCAUACUCCAAUUCCUUGGGAAAUUAGACUGGCAAUGGGAAAUUUUCCAUCAUUUCACACAGGGACAAGGGAGAAAAGCCCUUGUCAGCCGAUUCAUCAUGCUUGCUACUUGUCCCUCUGCUUCCUAGCGAUUCAGAAACAAAUGCUACCAAAUCGACCACAAAUGCUUUACUCAAAUAAAAAAUAGCUUUCGUGUUGCCUGUCA